CGAAUUUAGCCAUGCUAGUUGCACGAGUUGAGACUCGUGGCAAAUAGCUCAGUAACACGUGGCCAAACUACCCUAUCGAGAACGAUACUCUCGGGAAACUGAGGCUAAUAGUGCAUACGGGACUCAUGUCUGGGAGUGCACGCACUCCCCAGAAACGCUCAGGCGCUGAUAGGAUGUGGCUGCGGCCGAUUAGGUAGACGGUGGGGUAACGGCCCACCGUGCCGAUAAUCGGUACGGGUUGUGAGAGCAAGAGCCCGGAGACGGAAUCUGAGACAAGAUUCCGGGCCCUACGGGGCGCAGCAGGCGCGAAACCUUUACACUGCACGCAAGUGCGAUAAGGGGACUCCAAGUGCGAGGGCAUAUAGUCCUCGCUUUUCCCGACUGUAAGGUGGUCGGGGAAUAAGAGCUGGGCAAGACCGGUGCCAGCCGCCGCGGUAAUACCGGCAGCUCAAGUGAUGACCGAUAUUAUUGGGCCUAAAGCGUCCGUAGCUGGCCACGAAGGUUCAUCGGGAAAUCUCUCCGCUCAACUGACAGGCGUCCGGUGAAAACUGUGUGGCUUGGGACCGGAAGAUUCGAAGGGUACGUCUGGGGUAGGAGUGAAAUCCCGUAAUCCUGGACGGACCACCGGUGGCGAAAGCGCUCUGGAAAGACGGAUCCGACGGUGAGGGACGAAAGCUCGGGUCUCGAACCGGAUUAGAUACCCGGGUAGUCCUAGCUGUAAACGAUGCUCGCUAGGUGUGACACAGGCUACGAGCCUGUGUUGUGCCGUAGGGAAGCCGAGAAGCGAACCGCCUGGGAAGUACGUCUGCAAGGAUGAAACUUAAAGGAAUUGGCGGGGGAGCACUACAACCGGAGGAGCCUGCGGUUUAAUUGGACUCAACGCCGGACAUCUCACCAGCUUCGACUACAGUGAUGACAAAUCCGUUGAUUACCUUAUCUGGACCCUCUGAAGAGGAGGUGCAUGGCCGCCGUCAGCUCGUACCGUGAGGCGUCCUGUUAAGUCAGGCAACGA
rnacentral:rRNA from 1 species